rnacentral:rRNA from 1 species
AACGAACGCUGGCGGCAUGCCUAACACAUGCAAGUCGAACGAGACCUUCGGGUCUAGUGGCGCACGGGUGCGUAACGCGUGGGAACCUGCCCUUAGGUUCGGAAUAACUCCCCGAAAGGGGUGCUAAUACCGGAUAAUGUCUUCGGACCAAAGAUUUAUCGCCUUUGGAUGGGCCCGCGUUGGAUUAGCUAGUUGGUAGGGUAAAAGCCUACCAAGGCGACGAUCCAUAGCUGGUCGGAGAGGAUGAUCAGCCACACUGGGACUGAGAUACGGCCCAGACUCCUACGGGAGGCAGCAGUGGGGAAUAUUGGACGAUGGGCGAAAGCCUGAUCCAGCAAUGCCGCGUGAGUGAUGAAGGCCUUAGGGUUGUAAAGCUCUUUUACCCGGGAUGAUAAUGACAGUACCGGGAGAAUAAGCACCGGCUAACUCCGUG